CUCUGGCAAGAUGACAUGGGCAGUGCAUAAAAGUAAAAGACUCUGAUGAUGGGAAGUAUUGAAGGCGGGAGGAAAACGGAGCAGCAGAGGAUGAGAUGGUUAGAAAGCAUCACCGAUUCAAUGGACACGAGUCUGAGCAAACUCCGGGAGAUAGUGAAGGACAGGGAAGCCUGGUGAGCUGGAGUCAAUGGGGUCACAAAGAGUUGGACACAACUUAGCAACUGAACAACAACAAAAUGGCUCCUGAUUAAAUGUAGAUUUGUUCAGCAUGCUUUUUCAAUGUUUUACGUCUUAAACCUCAGACUAAACCUCAGAAAUAUUGAGUCAAUGAUCUCUAAUUCCCUGUUCAAAAUUUCCACAAAGCAGAAGCCUAAAUGUCUCCUUUGUUAUGACAAACAAAACCAAUAACAACA
ensembl:lncRNA